GAAAUACGAUACGUAAGGUGAAUUGCAGAAUUCUGUGAAUCAUAGAGUCUUUGAACGCAGAUUGCGCCCCCUGGUAUUCCGGGGGGCAUGCCUGUCCGAGCGUCAUUGCUGCCCUCAAGCACGGCUUGUGUGUUGGGCCCCCGUCCCCCCUCCAAAGGGGACGGGCCCGAAAGGCAGCGGCGGCACCGUGUCCGGUCCUCGAGCGUAUGGGAAGCAACUUUGUGUCACCCGCUCCUGUAGGUCCGGCCGGCGGCCUGCCCAACCCCAAUCAAUCUUUUAACCAGGUUGACCUCGAAUCAGGUAGGGAUACCCGCUGAACUUAA
rnacentral:misc_RNA from 1 species